AUGUCGAAAGAAACCAGCCGGCGACCCAGGGGAAAGGAUCCUCACACACCACAGUGACCAGGCAACUCUGUGCACAGACCGAGGAAGGAAACGCCUGGGAGCCAGCAAAGUAUUUCCUUGGUGGUUGGGACAGACCAAGGGUAAAAGGGACAGCCAAUUGAACUAGAGCACAAGUGAAACUAGCAAUUCCUCUGUAGAACAAGUUAAAUCAGCUGGGGGAAAACAAACAGACAAGCAAGCAGCUCCUGAGUCAAUUAAAAAGG
rnacentral:lncRNA from 10 species